rnacentral:lncRNA from 1 species
CGGGACUCCGGGAUCCGGUGUUUUUAAGCUCGGGAUUUCGGGAUCCGGGAAUUCUUUUCUCGAAUUUCGUGUUUUUGAGCCCGGGAUUUCGUGUUUUCAAGCUCGGGAUUUCGGGAUCAGGUCCCCUCCUACCCUCCCUCAAUUUUGAUCUGAUUUUUAACAGGGUAGCUUCAAAUUGUUGGAAGUUAGAAGUUGCACCGUAUAUCAGUGUUCCGUAUUUUACCAAAGAAAAG